CACGCUGUAAACGAUGAUCACUUGCUGUUGGCGAUAGACAGUCAGUGGCAAAGGGAAACCGAUAAGUGAUCCACCUGGGGAGUACGUUCGCAAGAAUGAAACUCAAAGGAAUUGACGGGGGCCCGCACAAGCGGAGGAACAUGUGGUUUAAUUCGAUGAUACGCGAGGAACCUUACCCGGGUUUGAAAGUAUGUUGCAUAGUUUGGAAACAGGCUUUUCCUUAUAGGACCACAUACUAGGUGC
rnacentral:rRNA from 1 species